AAGAGCCGGAUGAAGGGAGACUUUCAAGUCCAGGUUCUGUGAGAGACUCGGGGGGGCAGUUCCCUGGGUCUACUCGAC
rfam:Alkaliphilus metalliredigens QYMF, complete genome.